rnacentral:lncRNA from 1 species
UAAAUAAACUUUGAUUUUUAUUUAACUGAACACCCAACUUAAAUAUGUCAAUUGCACACAGACCCAAGCAAAAAUUUAAUACUUUAACAUCAAGGGGUUUUUGAUCUAUUAAAAUGCACAUAUGUUUUCUGCUGAUUUUCUGUGAACAGUAAUGCAUAUUCCACACAGGGCUGAAAGUACAAUCCAAGAAACAUCCACAGGAAGUUCUUGCCAAAAGUGAGGAACAAUGUUGUCUUCAGGACAGACUGAAUAAAGAGUCACUAAGAAUAUUGCUAUAAAUGAUACCCUGGGCAGUAACAUGUUAAUUUGUUUUCCAACUAGUGGGAGUUUCAUUACUCAUGGCACAUAAAGGAGAAUGCCUGUGGUUUAUUGCAUGCAAGCUGAUGUUUUCCUCCACAUUUUUUCUUCUUUAUGCAUAGUCUUGCACUUCCCCAACUAUGAGGUAUUCCUCUUCACCUACUAAACUUCCACACAUGCACUAGUAAGUACACUCUAAAAGACAGGUAAAAAGUUUGGUAUGGUGGCUUACAGAAAGGACAACAGUUAGAGAACCAUCAGAAAUCAAAUACGCAUAUUCAAGCAGUGGAAACCCUCUUUUCACGGUGACUUAAUCAGACUUCUCAGUCAGUUUCUGCCUGUCUCUUGUCCUUUAUGUUGAAACAGUGACUAAUCUUCCAAAUGGCUUUCACUCACUUCCUCUCAAUUUUGCUGUACUAAUAUCAGGGCAGCAAAGUGACUGAAACUCAGGCAGGACUGGAAUGUCUAGGCUGUGAUUUACCUGGGAGAGUCACAGUUGGGAGUAGCAGCUAGGUAAUGAUUGCCAGGAAUGAGCAAACACAGGAAGUCUCUACUCUCCUUCCUUGUUCCCUGUUAAUAGUACAGGCUUCAUUAGCAAAUGCUUUUCAGCUCCAACAAUCACCAGGAAACUCCAGACUGCCAGGAGCCUAGAAGGAGGGAGGAAGGGAGGGGUUGCACGUCUCAUCAUCCUCAUCAGAUGGGCCAGAGACUAUCACAUCUGUACAAAGUAAGAAACACCUAAUUCCUCACCUACCUGCAUGAGCUUCAGUGCAACUUCUUACUGAGUCAAACUCUUUUGAAUACAAGUACAUCGGCACAGUUCAGAUAAUUAUCUGGAAAAAUCCAGCCUACCAAAUAUUUUUCCAGAAUUCUUUAUUAUUCUGAAGAGAAUAAUAUUCAAAUGAGAGGCCUUUCUACACCAGUUAAUGAAACACAUCUUAGGGAGAGAUUAAACAAACAAAGGAAAAUAUAGAUUUCUGCUCUUUUUCCUGAAUAAUACCUUUGUUAGACAGCAUUCCAGAAAUCACUCAGAAGACCCCAUCAACUCCCCACUGUAACCCAUAAAAACCAGACUGUGCUACAAACUAUGGCUCAUCCCAUUGUGAGAAACGAAGCCCACUUUUAAAAUUUCAAAGGUUCACUAAAUCUUAACCAAAAUACAACAAAGGCCUGAAUAAAGAAAAAUUACAGCAUUGAGCAUCCUUGUGACCAGCACGCGCAUACUCAGCUACAAAAUGGAUGGUCUGUCUUUUAUACUCUUAACACCCUCCCAAAGUUUUGUCAAUCAACUCCUUCUUUGCCAUCCAUUGGGGGAGAUUACAUUCUUAUAUCUUGAGUGGAGGUCGGGUGUUGUUUUGCCAUGCCUCUUAGUAAUAAGCUGGUCCUUCCUAAAUGCCCUGACUAUUACAAGGGGGAGUGGAAAGAGGACUAUGGGAGGACAUAUCACAAUAACAUCACUAUAUAUACACAUAAUAUCCAUCUUUUAAUUGUGAGAGCCAACCAUGACAUUGCUCAUCUAUGCUCAAAUGUUUUCCAUUUGAGACAAAUAAAUUUCUGCUCUUCUCUGUGAGAGACCAGGGACAUUAAGUCAACCUUGGUGAGGGAAGGUGCAGAGGAUGUGAGAGAGGUUUCCUUUCACCUGCUGAUUUCACCUUGCUCACAGCUGUGAGCCAAGACGAGAAAAUCUCCACCCAUCAGAGAUGAUAAGUGUCAAGCUGCUGCCUUUUUAGACUGAUCCUGUGUCCUGGAGCACUGUUAUUUCCUGAUUAUCCUGUGUCACUUUUUCCACAAAGAUUGGGUCCAAAUUACUCAUCAGGCUGUGUUAGGAGGUGACUGACACCGAUGAAAACUUCUUUUCAAAAAGCAGGACAGAGCUUCUUCCCAAAGAAUGUGUCCUGUCUUUCAACAUAUUUUUAGUCACUCUUCUAUAUCUUAGCAGGCCAUAAUGUGCUUCACAUCAAUUCCUCCUUUAGUAUGUAAAAAUAUUCAUAUUGUUUAAAAGCACAUGUAAACCUAAAGCAAGUGUAAACCUACAGCUACUCGGUUUCUCAUUUCUUGUUGUUUUAAUUCAGUAUUCUUUCAGCAUUGAAAGAUAAAACCUGACUAAUAAGAUAAUUUUCAGUCAGCUGCUCAAUGGUCAAGGUCUAACCAAGCCCAUUCUUUUUUCGUUGCUUUAUUUUAUUUCGCUAAUCUUUUGCUGCACAUAGAUUAUUUGCUUUCCAUUCUCUUUGGUCCUCUUUCUGCAUAUCUCCUUCCCCCAUCAGUCCUCUCUGGUUUCCCUCCUUCUUGCCCACUGCACACACAAAUCUUCUCAGCUGGAGCCAUCAUCCAGACUCUUCCAUUUUAUCCUGGCUCCUCUUUUGCUCUCUAUGCUUCUCCUUCCUGUUUUUAGUUUCUCAGUUGCAAACCCUUUCUUCCACCAUCAUCAAUUUAAGGGUUAAAAAACAAGAAAAGAAAAAGAAAAAAGUCACUGUAUAAGCAUUAAUGUUAUUGUGUGUGUGUAUGUGUGCUGGGUAGGAAGAUGGAAUAAAAGCUCUUUAUUUCCGAUACUGAAACCAUUAACAGUUUCUAUUUGGUAAUAUUAUGUUGCCCGGCAAUUCCAUUUACUGAAUGUUCCUAAGGGUUCAGUUCCACUGAGGGGACAAUGAAAGUAAUGAUUUUGAUUUACUAAACUAACUACUUCUUUUUACUCAGAAUUUGGUUUACUCUCACUUUGGUGCUGUAAUUGUACUUUAAACAUUUUUAUUAUAGUAUGUACUUGUUUAAGUGCUGUCUUUUGAAUUAUGAUGAUUUUACAUUUAGUUACCCCAUGCAGAUAUGAAAUGUUCAUUGUUUUAUUUUAGGGAGCCACUCCAAUGUUUCAUUUUGAACCAUUUACCUACUGCAAGAACAUAGCCAAGCCAAAAAUAAAUCUCUCUCUUCACUGUUUUCUUUAAGUUCUUGAUCAAGCCUUAUUUUAAUGAGUCCUGAUGAGAAAUGGGGAUUAAUCUAAAGAAAACUAUAAACUUAACAUUUAACUUUUAAAUCAAAGUACAUUCUACAAGUUUUCAGAGUCUUUCAAUGAGAGAGACAUCUUCACGUACUCUUCAGACAACUCAGCAUCAAAAUUUAAUCAUACCGAGAGAAACAGCAGCUGAGAGAAACAUUUUAUUCUGUUCAGUUCUUCACUGUACUCAAAAAGGGUGAAAUACCUUAAAACAAUGUUGGAAUAGCUGGGGGUCUGGAUCUUCUGAAAGAGUGGACAAAAACAUAGACCACAAUACUCGAAAUAAAAUCACCAUGAACUAACAGAGGAGUGUGCUGUCUUCUCCCACAGCAAAACUGAGGAGAAAGAAACCUUUGAAAACUCUUCAGAUGCUCUCUCUAUAGUUUCUGAUUAAUUUUCCUCUCAGAGACUCUAACUACAAGAGACUAAUGUGUGAUCAUCAACAUCCAAUGUGUGAAGAAAUUAAGUUUCCCUUUAUAGAAAAUCCAAUAGAGUUCAAUAGCAAAUAAUUUUUCUAGUGACUUGAACUUACGUGCCUAUGGAAUACAACAGAUCAGUUAUAUUCCUGUUGUGCAGCUCUUCAGGCUAGUUAAAAAUUACCAUAAAAUCCCUUCCUAGUGAAAUUUUACAAAACAAAUGAUUAGCAGAUGAAAUAGUUACGGAUGCACUACCAUUAAUAAGAUUAUGUUAAACAGGAAGAUUUGGCCCAUGUGUGUUUAGAGUAAUUUGAUAAAAAAUCAUUGCAAAUUUCUGUUGGUUUUAACAACUAUUAAAUGCUACAUCACUUUCCCAUAUUGAUCUUACAUGCUCUGUUGUUUUCUCUGGUUUUAUUAAUGGGGAGCCCCUCCCUUCACCAUAUGGUCCAGCCACUAUCCACAGUUUUCUCUGCUUAUUUCACCAUCAUGUAACACUCUCCUCUUCUGGGAACUAUACAACACAGUAACAUGCGAAUGUUGCUCACAGUGCAACACGAAUUUAUGCUGAUUUCUCUGGCACAGUACAGCAGGAGCUGACCAGGCCAGCCUCCUGCACAAAACAUCUGCUCUGAAGCCUUGUUUGCCUUACAAAAUCCUCCAUAGCAGUAAGGACCAACCUGCACAGAAUUGGCACAGAGACACUCUGGGUUCCCAGCAGAGGCAAAACCUUCACUGGUAUUUCCAGUGAGUAUUACAAACUACUCUGCUUAACUUCGAAUAUUCUGUGUCCUUCUUGUGAAGCACAUCCCAUGUCAACCUAUAGUCAAGUGAAUAUUCACUCAGAAGACAUCUGAAGAAAGUGAGUAAGAGAAGCAAAUCCAUAUAUGCCAUCCAGCAACCUAAAACUGUGCGAUUUCUGGUAAGGUCUUUAUUUACAGAAAGAAUUUUGCAAGGAUUCACAACCAUUAAAAAUCACAUCCAUGGAGGAAACUCAUUAUUCUUAAUCUCAUCUCAUUUUAUCUCUUCAGAAAGAGCUGUAAAAUGUCUAGCAUUCAUACAUUUAAACUAUGAGCUCCAUUCUGCAUGAGUUAUUGGGUAAAAGACCUAUUGCCACUUUACACUAAGAGGCUGAAAAUUGGGUUUCUGCUGAUUUUUUAUGUCUUGUUUCCUUUAGUUGUAUUAAACACAGCUACAAGCUGAUAAAAACUCCUCACUUUCAACCACAUUUUCAGAGAACAGCUGAGUUUGAUGAAUUUCCCUGAAGUGGUUAAAAUAAAGAUCUUAUUUUUCUCUGUGUAGGAGUAAUUACUUUGCCAGGCAUUCAAUAAUUUUGUCUUGACACAAAUCAUAUUUGCAGUUUGAUGAGAUUUCAGUAUUGCUGUAAGAUUAAAGAAGUCAACACUCGUUUUAUAUUAAGAUGUGCCUGCACUCAACAUUUUGUUUUUAUUUGUGGUGAAACAUAUCUCCACAGGUAAAAGCUUCUCCUCUGAUGCCCAAGUAGGAAAGAGGAAAAAGAAGUACAAACCUUCCUAAUAUUACAGCCUUUAAGUCCCUCAAAACUCUCUCAUACCUUCCUUGGGACAAAACCCACUAGUAUCUCCGAGACAGCUGUCAAAGACCUCAGCUCUGCCAUUUGUGUUGUUUCUUGACAAUGUAAAACUUGCUGCAUUUUGAGCUUUUGAAAUAGUGGCAAGAACAAGCUGAACUGAAUCUAACGGUAACAAAUGGAAUUGGGGAAUGUUGUAUAUAUUGCAUAUGUGUUGAAUGUUCUGGCAUAGGAAGGGAGUGAAUGGGGAUGAGAGCAACAAGGUGCGAUUGCACCCCUGCAGUAUCCCAGCUCCUGAGAGCUGUAUCUAACAAGAUGCUGUUCCUACACUCACAUGGGUCUGGGAAGAUAGUACAGUAGAAAAUACAGCAUGGGGCUUAGAACACAAAUCAGCAUUGAACUUUGCAUAUCCCAACUGAAAGAGGCAGCUGCUACCAGCGAAGGAGAUACAAAUGCCUUUCCUCCAUACAGGCCAGCUGUCUUGCAAACAGAUAUCUCAGGUGAUUAAGGAGAAAUAGAGGUAACAUUUUCACACAAACUAAGGUCAUAUUUUUGGUAAAGACCUACUUUGCAGAGGGGUUGGAAGGAGUUGGAGAAGUUCUCUAUAGCCUGUGUGAAUUGUUCAGAUCAGGAUUUUAAAAUGCACAGCUCCAUGGAGACCUCAUCAAGAAUUCCUGACUGGAAAACCCAUUGCACUCUACCGCUGCAGCUGCCAAAAAGCAGACAGUGGAAAAAAAAAAUGUCUUUUCCCUUCAAUAAGGGUAAAAAUUCCCUUCCCCAAACCCAUGUAAGUAGCCCGCAAUUGUAAACUAGUCUAGGCAAAACAAGUAAGGUUGUGUCUCUGUUUUCAAAAAGUAUGACAGCAUAAAGAAUUGAGAUUGACAUUAAAGUUCCACAAAAAUAGACUGAAAAGCUUGGUGAGAGAGAAAAGAUGAAUAGUUCAUUGGCUUGAGUACUGAGUGAGAAAGGGAACAGGGAGUCAGGUAAAAAUGAGGGUGGGUUUUCAUGCCAUGAAGACACUUCAGAGUUUGUAGAGCAAACCAAGAGAUAAUGAAGGACAGAAGAGCUGGGUGUCAUUUUGGCAGAGGGCUAAAUGAAAAAGGCUACAGUGCAUGAUUUAACUGAAGUUAGGCAGCAAAGGCUUGGAAAUUAAAGAUGGGGGGGAAAUGGGAUGAAUGAAAAACAAUUGUGCAAAAAACCCAGAAUACAAAACUUCUAGUAACUGGUGCCUUAGCUAGUACCAGGAUCUGGGAAAUAGGAGUUUUUUAGUGUUGCUUCUUCCAGAACUUUCAUUGUAUAAAAAUUUGGUCUGUAUUUUUCAAAAGCCUAAAUACGGGAGGGGAAAGUAUUCUCUCUCAGAGACCCUUUUUUGAUUAGUAAAGAAAUGCAAUGGUAAAAUAAACCAUUCAGUAUUGCGGAAAUAUCUGUGAAGUAGCUGAAGCACAUAGUAAAGACCAAACCUAUAUCUGCUUCCAGUUCAAACCCACAACAAAGUAGGUGGCAGUUUUGAACACCUCAAAAUGUAUAUAGUGAUUGAACAUAAUACAAUGAUCAAAUGUCAGCCUUAGCUAUUGCGAAAUGGGUAUUCCCCAAAAGUCCUGACUAUGUUCAGUCUCCGUUCCCAUUUCCUGACAGAGGAAGAAGUACCAUGACAUGAUCAAGGGCCUCUUUGUGGAAAUGGGGUUACGGGUCUUGGCAAAUCAAGGUACAUUCAUCAGUUUUACCCCCCCUGACACACACUUGGGUACCCAGAAAUUAUUUGUACCAGCUGAGUUUCACUAAUUGCUUUCAGAUCUAGAAGUUUGUUUCACUAAAAUUUAUCUGUCUCCAGCAAUUACCCUGUUUGGUGCAGAGCUCACUUCUGUUUUAGAUUUUCAGGGAAAGAAAGAAGGAAAGAAAGAAAUAAAAUAUAUAUUAGGUCUUGGUUCCUUUGGUCAUAAAAUCACCCUAAGUAUACAUUCAGUUUAAACUGUCAGAAAGGAAAGAAGAAACUGUUUCUUGAUACAGAUGAAUGUUUUCCCUUGUAAUCUAACAAUGAGAAAUCAAAUGAAUGUGUGGUUAAUUUUAGACCCAAAUCAAAUACAGAACCCAAACCAAUGUCUUACAGUCCUUUCAUUAUCUGAAAAAAACACCAAAAGGCAGAAAAAAACAGCUGUCAUAAAUAAGUAAUUAUUUUAAUUUUAAUGCCAUACUUCCUGACCUCACAGCAAUUCUCCCAGUUGCAGUCUGUCCUUUCAAUCAUCUGGCUAGGGAAAAAAAAAAAAAAAAAAAAAAAAAAAAAAAAAA